UACAGAGGGGGCAAGCGUUGUUCGGAAUUACUGGGCGUAAAGGGCGCGUAGGCGGCCCGCUAAGUCGAACGUGAAGUCCCUGGGCUUAACCCAGGAACUGCGUCCGAUACUGGCAGGCUUGAAUCCGGGAGAGGGAUGCGGAAUUCCAGGUGUAGCGGUGAAAUGCGUAGAUAUCAGGAAGAACACCAAUGGCGAAGGCAGCUCUCUGGGACGGUACUGACGCUGAGACGCGAAAGCGUGGGGAGCGAACAGG
rnacentral:rRNA from 1 species